rnacentral:rRNA from 1 species
GACGAACGCUGGCGGCGUGCUUAACACAUGCAAGUCGAACGGAAAGGCCCCCUUGUGGGGUACUCGAGUGGCGAACGGGUGAGUAACACGUGAGUAACCUAACCUUGACUUUGGGAUAACUUCAGGAAACUGGGGCUAAUACCGGAUAGGAGCUCCUGCUGCAUGGUGGGGGUUGGAAAGUUUCGGCGGUUGGGGAUGGACUGGCGGCUUAUCAGCUUGUUGGUGGGGUAGUUGCUCACCAAGGCUUUGACGGGUAGCCGGCCUGAGAGGGUGACCGGCCACAUUGGGCCUGAGAUACGGCCCAGACUCCUACGGGAGGCAGCAGUGGGGAAUAUUGCACAAUGGGCGGAAGCCUGAUGCAGCAACGCCGCGUGCGGGAUGACGGCCUUCGGGUUGUAAACCGCUUUCGCCUGUGACGAAGCGUGAGUGACGGUAAUGGGUAAAGAAGCACCGGCUAACUACGUG